UCAUCUUCGGGGGUAGAGCACUGUUUCGGCUAGGGGGUCAUCCCGACUUACCAACCCGAUGCAAACUACGAAUACCGAAGAAUGUUAUCACGGGAGACACACGGCGGGUGCUAACGUCCGUCGUGAAGAGGGAAACAACCCAGACCGCCAGCUAAGGUCCCAAAGUCACAGUUAAGUGGGAAACGAUGUGGGAAGGCUCAGACAGCCAGGAUGUUGGCUUAGAAGCAGCCAUCAUUUAAAGAAAGCGUAAUAGCUCACUGGUCGAGUCGGCCUGCGCGGAAGAUGUAACGGGGCUAAACUGUGCACCGAAGCUGCGGCAGCGACACUAUGUGUUGUUGGGUAGGGGAGCGUUCUGUAAGCCGUUGAAGGUGUGUCGUGAGGCAUGCUGGAGGUAUCAGAAGUGCGAAUGCUGACAUAAGUAACGAUAAAGCGGGUGAAAAACCCGCUCGCCGGAAGACCAAGGGUUCCUGUCCAACGUUAAUCGGGGCAGGGUGAGUCGACCCCUAAGGCGAGGCCGAAAGGCGUAGUCGAUGGGAAACAGGUUAAUAUUCCUGUACUUGGUGUUACUGCGAAGGGGGGACGGAGAAGGCUAUGUUGGCCGGGCGACGGUUGUCCCGGUUUAAGCGUGUAGGUUUGCAGACCAGGUAAAUCCGGUCUGCUUCAAGACUGAGACGUGAUGACGAGGCACUACGGUGCUGAAGUAACAAAUGCCCUGCUUCCAGGAAAAGCCUCUAAGCAUCAGGUAACACGAAAUCGUACCCCAAACCGACACAGGUGGUCAGGUAGAGAAUACCAAGGCGCUUGAGAGAACUCGGGUGAAGGAACUAGGCAAAAUGGUGCCGUAACUUCGGGAGAAGGCACGCUGAUACGUAGGUGAAGCGGUUUACCCGUGGAGCUGAAAUCAGUCGAAGAUACCAGCUGGCUGCAACUGUUUAUUAAAAACACAGCACUGUGCAAACACGAAAGUGGACGUAUACGGUGUGACGCCUGCCCGGUGCCGGAAGGUUAAUUGAUGGGGUUAGCGCAAGCGAAGCUCUUGAUCGAAGCCCCGGUAAACGGCGGCCGUAACUAUAACGGUCCUAAGGUAGCGAAAUUCCUUGUCGGGUAAGUUCCGACCUGCACGAAUGGCGUAAUGAUGGCCAGGCUGUCUCCACCCGAGACUCAGUGAAAUUGAACUCGCUGUGAAGAUGCAGUGUACCCGCGGCAAGACGGAAAGACCCCGUGAACCUUUACUAUAGCUUGACACUGAACAUUGAGCCUUGAUGUGUAGGAUAGGUGGGAGGCUUUGAAGUGUGGACGCCAGUCUGCAUGGAGCCAACCUUGAAAUACCACCCUUUAAUGUUUGAUGUUCUAACGUAGACCCGUAAUCCGGGUUGCGGACAGUGUCUGGUGGGUAGUUUGACUGGGGCGGUCUCCUCCCAAAGAGUAACGGAGGAGCACGAAGGUUAGCUAAUCCUGGUCGGACAUCAGGAGGUUAGUGCAAUGGCAUAAGCUAGCUUGACUGCGAGCGUGACGGCGCGAGCAGGUGCGAAAGCAGGUCAUAGUGAUCCGGUGGUUCUGAAUGGAAGGGCCAUCGCUCAACGGAUAAAAGGUACUCCGGGGAUAACAGGCUGAUACCGCCCAAGAGUUCAUAUCGACGGCGGUGUUUGGCACCUCGAUGUCGGCUCAUCACAUCCUGGGGCUGAAGUAGGUCCCAAGGGUAUGGCUGUUCGCCAUUUAAAGUGGUACGCGAGCUGGGUUUAGAACGUCGUGAGACAGUUCGGUCCCUAUCUGCCGUGGGCGCUGGAGAAUUGAGGGGGGCUGCUCCUAGUACGAGAGGACCGGAGUGGACGCAUCACUGGUGUUCGGGUUGUCAUGCCAAUGGCAUUGCCCGGUAGCUACAUGCGGAAGAGAUAAGUGCUGAAAGCAUCUAAGCACGAAACUUGCCCCGAGAUGAGUUCUCCCUGAGACUUUAAGUCUCCUGAAGGAACGUUGAAGACGACGACGUUGAUAGGCUGGGUGUGUAAGUGCAGCGAUGCAUUGAGCUAACCAGUACUAAUGAACCGUGAGGCUUAACCUUACAACGCCAAAGGUGUUUUG
rnacentral:rRNA from 1 species